UGGUGAUAGAGGCAUGGAAACAGCUGAAGUUAAUAAGGCCGUAAGAAGCGAGGAAGAAGUUGGAGAUCAGAGGAGCGAUUGUGUUCAAAUUACCUGAAAAUAUCAACAUCACAUGUUAAAACAUCCCCAGAGAGGAACAGUUAUUGAUCUGGGGGAAAUCCACUGCUCACCGAUGAGGAUGAAACACAUGGCAAUGAUAAACGUGAGAACGUAAGCACGAAGAGGCUCCUUGUUUUUCCCAUAACCUUUUCCGAAGAAGCCAAUGUAUGGGUAAAUCUUGUCCUUACACAAUAACUGGAAAAAGACACGGAGAAAUGUAAGAACUGAAUGCAUGCUAAACCAACAACUGAGUAGUCAAAUAAUGUCUACCUGGAAAACUUUGGGGGCGGACACCAGGAAGCCCAGCGCUGAUGACAAGGUUGCAGCAAAGGUCCCAAUAGUGAUCAGAAUGCCCCAUCCUGACACAACGGUAAAAGGAGAAAAGGAUGCCACUGACCAGAGUAGACUUUCCCAUUGGUGGAGAUUGCAGACACUGAUGUCGCCGUGAUCGUCGUGAUGG
rnacentral:lncRNA from 1 species